rnacentral:lncRNA from 1 species
AUGAUGCCCUCCCACAUCAACCUGGCUGGAAUCUCCGUAGUAAAGUGAUAUACUCAAGGCUCUCCAGCACAGAUGAUGGCUACACUGACCUCCAGUUUAAGAAAAGCCCUCCUAAGAUCCCUUAUAAGGCCACUGCACUUGCCACUGUGCUCUUUUUCGAUUGGUGCCUUUCUCAUUAUCAUAGGCUCACCUUCUGGCUACAUCAGCAAAGCGGGGGCAGACUGGGCAGUUCCAGUCCUGAUCAUUGACAUUCUGGUAUUCCUGCCCAGAUUUUACCACCUGCACAGAGCCUACUAUGCAUCCAAAGGAUUACUUCUAGGGCUUACCAGGAUUACUUCUAGAGGUUGCUUCUAAAAUGACAUUCCAAACUUUGAUGACUA